rnacentral:lncRNA from 1 species
AUGAAUAAAAGAAGCGAAGAUGAAGAAAAGCAAAGGAAAACAUGUUUAUAAACAACUAGCAAAGGCCGAAGGAGUUCAAGCAAAACAAGAGCUACAAGGAAAAACAAAUAAAAUCCUAAAGGCUACCUAAAAGACUAUAGCAGCUUGGACAUCCCACGACUACUCGGUCGCCACACCUUUAGCAACCGUAACACUCUUAGCAGUGGUAUCAUCCGGCACUUCACCCUCGACUGCCCCAGCCUGGGCACUAACUUCUCCAACUACUUCACCAAUGAAAGCCUCAAAAGUAAAAUCAAGCAAGUCUUCUGGAGAAAUAGAGAAGACUUUCAGUAUGCCUUGAAGUUCCAACACUUGGGGUUCAAGCCUAUCGAUGAUUCUCUUGAAGUGGAUCACUUGGUUAUAAGCAGCAAUCAACUCUUCAUCCUUUGUAGCAGAAUGAAGCUCAGAAAUGACAUGCUUAAGAUCUUGAAUCUAAGUCUUCAAGUCAACGAUCUCUUGGCGAGCAGUCUCAAGCUGCAAAGAAAUGGGGGCAGAAAUAUUAAACCCCUUCAAAGCAACAAGCUCAGAAUCUGCCAUAGUAUUUGCCAUCUCCUUAGCAGCCUUGCUGUAUCUGUAUCAUAGCAAGCAGAGUAGUCAUUCUAUAUUGGGUCGUAUGCUUCGCAAACGAGCUUGCGCAAA